rnacentral:lncRNA from 1 species
UCACGUUGCCCCACACCUCUCGGUUGAGUUGAAGUUAGCAACAACCCCCCUACGAAUCAGCCUCUUCGUCUGCGUACGGUAUGUAGUUAAUCAGAUCCUUUUUGUCCUUUUACUCCCCCUUAACGUGCUUAAGAUGUUGGCAGAACGCCUUUGCGCUUAUUUAUAGACUCAUGAUGAGUGUGCCGUACUAAGUGGCAGCUACUACGCGCGGUAGGUCAGCAAACGCCAGGUUGGGCCCC